rnacentral:rRNA from 1 species
UACGAAGGAUGCAAGCGUUAAUCGGAAUUACUGGGCGUAAAGCGUGCGUAGGCGGUCUUUUAAGUCCGUUGUGAAAGCCCUGGGCUCAACCUGGGAAUGGCAGUGGAUACUGGAAGGCUGGAGUACGGUAGAGGAGGGUGGAAUUCCCGGUGUAGCGGUGAAAUGCGUAGAGAUCGGGAGGAACAUCAGUGGCGAAGGCGGCCCUCUGGACCAGUACUGACGCUGAGGCACGAAAGCGUGGGGAGCAAACAGG